rnacentral:rRNA from 1 species
AGGGGAAUAUUGGACAAUGGGCGCAAGCCUGAUCCAGCCAUGCCGCGUGAGUGAUGAAGGCCCUAGGGUUGUAAAGCUCUUUCACCGGGGAAGAUAAUGACGGUAACCGGAGAAGAAGCCCCGGCUAACUUCGUGCCAGCAGCGGCGGUAAUACGAAGGGGGCUAGCGUUGUUCGGAUUUACUGGGCGUAAAGCGCACGUAGGCGGACUUUUAAGUCAGGGGUGAAAUCCCGGGGCUCAACCCCGGAACUGCCUUUGAUACUGGAAGUCUUGAGUAUGGUAGAGGUGAGUGGAAUUCCGAGUGUAGGGGUGAACUGCGUAUAUAUUCGGAAGAACACCUGUGGCGAAGGCGGCUCACUGGACCAUUACUGACGCUGAGGUGCGAAAGCGUGGGGAGCAAACAGG